UCCGCUUGCAGGCUGCGGGCGAGCGCGGGCGGGCGGGCCGGCGAGAGGGACGCGGCGCCACCGCGCGGCCGGACAGGAGAAGACAGGCCACGUGUCCCGGAGCGCCGAGACAUCAGGAAACACAGAAAUGCGGGAAACGCGAGAGAUGGAGAGAUGACACGGGGACAGGGCCAAAAAGACAAGGAGACACAGAGAGCAGGAGGCAGCAAGAAGGCGCCCACACCUGGGAGAUGUUGGAGGAAAUAACCCGGAAACCCUACAUCAGGCUGAGACCAAGGCCUGGCAUCCCUCAGGUCCCCCAGGGAACUUCUGGAGCAGGAGAAUUGCAAGACCAACCCUCCCUCUGCCAGAACCACCUGGCCCAGAUGAUGGGGAAGGCGUAGGAGGCCGCGCUAUGGGGAAUCUUCCUGACCCAGGGAUCGAACUCAUGUUUGCCUGUAUCUCCUGCAUUGCAGGCAGAUUCUUUACCACUGAGCCACUUGGGAAACCCCCUGUGGUGGGUAGAAGCUUGCAAAGGAGAAGUGGCAGCAUCUGAGUGGUGGAGCUAGGGUGGAGCCUAUGGUCGUGCUCCCCCCUGCACCAGCUCCAAAGUGGGCCCCUCCCCUCAAUGCUGUGGGGCCAGCGGAUAGAAAACAUGAUCUUCACCAGCCAAAGCUGGCUACCUCCACCUGGGGACUGGCAUCAGCAAAAUCUCCAUCAGGGUCUCAAUUCCUUGACCACACACCAGUCAGGGACAGUGGGUGGUGGACGCCCACCCCAUCCUGCCUUCCCACAAACCGCUUGCCCCAGCGACUCUGUCACUCCCAGAGUGGCUGGUGGCACGGGCUAUACUAGCAGAUCUCCGCUACCAGCCCUGGUAGCCUGCUGGGACCAUGUACCAAGCUGGUUUUUUUUUUGGUUCCGGAACAGUCUGAACCAGAUGACAUGCCAGA